GAUGAACGCUGGCGGCGUGCCUAAUACACGCAAGUCGAGCGAACGGACGAGAAGCUUGCUUCUCUGAUGUUAGCGGCGGACGGGUUAGUAACACGUGGAUAACCUACCUAUAAGACUGGGAUAACUUCGGGAAACCGGAGCUAAUACCGGAUAAUAUUUUGAACCGCAUGAUUCAAAAGUGAAAGACGGUCUUGCUGUCACUUAUAGAUGGAUCCGCGCUGCAUUAGCUAGUUGGUAAGGUAACGGCUUACCAAGGCAACGAUGCAUAGCCGACCUGAGAGGGUGAUCGGCCACACUGGAACUGAGACACGGUCCAGACUCCUACGGGAGGCAGCAGUAGGGAAUCUUCCGCAAUGGGCGAAAGCCUGACGGAGCAACGCCGCGUGAGUGAUGAAGGUCUUCGGAUCGUAAAACUCUGUUAUUAGGGAAGAACAUAUGUGUAAGUAACUGUGCACAUCUUGACGGUACCUAAUCAGAAAGCCACGGCUAACUACGUG
rnacentral:rRNA from 1 species